UGUACUUUGGUUUCUCGCUAUAGAUUCUAUUUUUGUUUUAGAAUGAAAACAAUCAAAUUAAACCGCUCUUUUACUUCUUUUAACUUAUAUCUAACGAUAUGAUGUAAGUGUAGGCUAAUCUUAGUUUUUUGUUUUUUUCAAAGAACUUUUUCUUUU